CAACAACAGAAAGGAGGUGGUCCAGUGUCUAGAGUGAUAUUGGAGAGAGAGGUUGGAACAGUCGGAGGGGCCGUGGUCUGAGGGCAACCCCCGGACCGAAACGCUUUCGAUUGGGCCUCACGCUCUAACCGGCCCAUCUCCGUAGCUCUCGGGGCCGCCUGACACAGGCGGCCCU
rnacentral:sRNA from 1 species